AAGUUUCGAGCUGAUCACGAGCCAGAGUUUUCGAGCUCAUCACAAGCUCGAGCCGAACACGAUCCGACCUUGAAGAUGACGAGCCGAGCUCAAGCUGGCUCCAGCUCGCUCGAGCUCAGCUCGUUUACAGCCCUACCCAUUAUAGGUGACGUCGCAGGUCCUAGUGGGACAGUUCGUGAGAAGCGUACUUAGCGGUUCGGUUGAGCUUACAGACCCGUCCAUUAGUUUAAACUCUAAACUCAGUUUCUUUAAAUAAACAACUUAGACUGCAUUUAUGGUUCAGUAUUUUAUGUGAAUUGAAUAUUUGGGCUUUCGUGAAUGUAAUAAAAAAUUUGUGAUUUCUUGUGAAAUAAAAAUAGUUUUCUAUCCCUUAUAGUAGCGAGUUUUAAAAGAAAAAGGUUUCUAUGUGGUAAAAAAAUUUUAAAACGGUUUUCUUGAUUUUCGUGAUUUAGUGUUUUAAAACGAGUUUCCGGAUAUGAAACAUUUUAAACUAAUAGUUGUGGAUUUAUGAAUAACUUUAGUUGUGGAUGUGAUUGUAAAUGGUGUAUGAUUAUGUGUAUAUGCAUAUGUGUGGUUGUAUCCUGUAUGAUAAAUCUUGUAUCUUGUACUUGUGCUACGUCCUGCAAAUACAAGGAAGAUUCUAUCCGUGUGAACAGUGGACUCUCUGUAUUUGUAGCGGAUCUGACAAUACCCUAGGGGUCAGGAUUUUCAAAAAAAAAAAAUUUGGACACUGCCGCAAUUGGAUUUUAAUCCAAAAUAGGACCCCGGAGCGUGACAUAUUAAAAUGUAGCAUUAUAAGUUCCAUUCCAAAUACAAACCAAAUGACUUAAAAUUAUGCAGAGGUCGAAAACAUUAAAAACGAACAACACAACACAACGUAACUCAACACAACACAACGCAACGCAACGCAGCGUAUUGCGAAGAAUCAAUCAGAGUCGUCCGAAACUUCAUUCGGGAAAUCGAAGCCGUCCACCUCACCGUCGAGGUACUUACUCCUCGUCGUCCUCGUCGAAGUCCUCGCCAUCGAACUCGUCAUCUACGUCGUCGUCGUCGUCGAAUGAACAGUAAAUUAAAAAAAAUAGAUUGAAUAUAUAUAAAAAAUAAAUAUAUAAAAAUUUAUUUAUUAGACUUAAUCUAAUAUUUGAAACUUUACAUAUAAAUGAGUUUUUUUUAUAAUUGAGCUCGUCUUUAUAUUUUUAUUUUACUAAAAAUUAAAUAAUAAAAAUAUAUAUUAN
rnacentral:lncRNA from 1 species